UACGGAGGGUGCAAGCGUUAUUCGGAAUUAUUGGGCGUAAAGGGCGUGUAGGCGGCCAGAUAAGUCAGAGGUGAAAGCCCGGGGCUCAACCCCGGAAGUGCCUUUGAAACUAUCUGGCUUGAGUGCGGGAGAGGAAAGCGGAAUUCCCAGUGUAGAGGUGAAAUUCGUAGAUAUUGGGAGGAACACCGGUGGCGAAGGCGGCUUUCUGGACCGACACUGACGCUGAGGCGCGAAAGCGUGGGGAGCAAACAGGAUUAGAUACCCCUGUAGUCC
rnacentral:rRNA from 1 species